rnacentral:rRNA from 1 species
GACGUAGGGCGCGAGCGUUGUCCGGAUUUAUUGGGCGUAAGGAGCUCGUAGGCGGCUUGUCGCGUCGACUGUGAAAUCCCGAGGCUCAACUUCGGGCUUGCAGUCGAUACGGGCAGGCUAGAGUUCGGUAGGGGAGACUGGAAUUCCUGGUGUAGCGGUGAAAUGCGCAGAUAUCAGGAGGAACACCGAUGGCGAAGGCAGGUCUCUGGGCCGAUACUGACGCUGAGGAGCGAAAGCGUGGGGAGCGAACAGG